UGAGUAAUACAUAAGUAACCUGCCCUAGACAGGGGGAUAACUAUUGGAAACGAUAGCUAAGACCGCAUAGGUACGGACACUGCAUGGUGACCGUAUUAAAAGUGCCUCAAAGCACUGGUAGAGGAUGGACUUAUGGCGCAUUAGCUGGUCGGCGGGGUAACGGCCCACCAAGGCGACGAUGCGUAGCCGACCUGAGAGGGUGACCGGCCACACUGGGACUGAGACACGGCCCAGACUCCUACGGGAGGCAGCAUG
rnacentral:rRNA from 1 species